rnacentral:rRNA from 1 species
UACGUAGGUGGCAAGCGUUGUUCGGAAUUACUGGGCGUAAAGGGCGCGUAGGCGGCCAGACAAAGUCGAGCGUUAAAUUCCAGGGCUUAACCCUGGGCUGUUGCUCGAUACUAGUCGGCUAGAGUGUGGAAGAGGGUGCUGGAAUUCCCGGUGUAGCGGUGAAAUGCGUAGAUAUCAGGAGGAACACCAGUGGCGAAGGCGGUGCUCUGGGCCGGAACUGACGCUGAGGAGCGAAAGCGUGGGGAGCAAACAGG